UUAAGUAUGGACUUGAAUAUGACAGUCUUUUCACUGAUGUCCAGGGAAUUUCUACCUUACAGUGCCCGGGGAAUGGGAUCUGGGGCUAGCUUUCUUCCUGAGAAAACCAGUCCUGGCUUUUGGGAUAUGGCUUCUCAUAUCUUGAAAGUACUCUGAUAUUCUGAAAGGAUGGUUGGUUGACACUACUGAGAGUCUACAGGGAGUGUGGGAAGUUACUCUUAGCAAACCUCAUAUUUUGGAAAGACAGAACCCAGGAAAGUUUAAUAAUUCCUGUAGGGACAGGAGUGCAGGCUGAGGUUGUUCACGGGAUGCAGGUGCUGUUCAACUUCUAAGUGCGGGCUGAGUUUAAUUCAACCCCCUUGGCCAGCACAGGCCCAGACAGGGCCUGGCUCUUUCUAGUCACCAAGUUGCCCUGACUCCCUGCCUUCUAGCAGAAUAACAAUUCGGGGGCAAUGUAGCGCUUGCCUUAUCUUCUUUGGGCUAGUUGGAGUUUCAGAGCAAAUACAUUCUUCUCUAGCCGGCUUAGCUUAAAGUCUGUUUACUUGUCCCCAGGAUAGGUGAAUAUUCAGAGGGCUCUGGGAAUGAGACCCAACAAACUGGACUUUGGUCCUCUCUUGCCACCAAUCACUCUGAUUCCUCCAGCUCCUACCUAGGGGAAUGUGUCAGCUAUAGAAGCAAUCUUGGCAUGCAGACUGGGGCAUAUCUCUUUAGGAAACUAGGUGCUGGGCUCAAAGUGAGCUGGGUUUAAGGUUUUAGUCCCCACAGUUUGGGGACACAAGCCAUUCACACAGCCUGCAACUGGGUCAGCACCUAGGAGGCUUUCAAAAACUGGGGCUCAGAUUUGUUCUGACCUCCAAGUAAAAGAAAUAAACAUUCUAGAGAUGCCCUGACACUGAGAUGGUGGAAGAGGGGAAGUUUCCUCAGUGAGCUGUAGAACAAAUGCCCUAGAAACUGCCCCCUGACAAGUAUCCCACUCAACUCCAGGCCGCGAUGGUUCAGGCAGUGGGGGGAUUUUGCAGACAGCAUCCUCCUCUUUGCUCCUCUCCCCCACCCCACCCCAACCCCGCCGUGUAAACACGAGGACUUUCUCGAGAGCCCUGGAGAGCCGCUCUAGUGGCUUCGGGGCCUGAAACCCCAGGCUUGGCUUGUUUGAUGUUUAGCAUCCCAAAGCGGCUCCCCACCCCCGCCCCAGCCUGGGAACCCCGAGCUCCGGGGCCGAAGAGAAGGGGAAGCAGUUCUCUCAGCUGGAGGGCGGUGGAUUGGCUGGGCUUAGAGAAGUGGCGAAAACUACAGGACUCCCCGCCCUGAGCAGGGGAGAAAGGGAUCCCGGAAUGAUGCGGUCAUCCAUGAGGAUAUAGCUGGAGUCCUAAAGGCCAAGAGGCAGACGGGGAAAGAAAUGUCACAAUUUGGGGGAAUACACUGGAGAUAGGGGCCAGGUCGGUGGAAAUAGCUUGGGGCCACCGCGAAAACAAGGUAAGCGGUGUCUGGGUCCAGUUAGUGAGCAUCGAGAACGGCGUCCACGACUGCAGGGCUAUCAGGGCCUCGAGGAGACAGCGCUCCGUGCCACUGCUUAGUGCUUGGCCUUUCAUAGGGACGAACCUGCUUAGGAGUCUUCCAAGAGAUUUUUAAAUCCUCCGAGUCUGGACCUGGAAGCUCCAUUGGCGACGUUUGGAUCUGGCUUCGUAGUCUUUGAUUUCGAAAGCCCAGGAAGAUUCGCAGACUUUCAAGGCCGCACACACCGCAUUGCCGGGAGUCUGGGCGGCGGUGAGGACUGAGAAGCUGUCUCAAGACCUGAGUCUCUUCUCAGGCGAUCCCAGAUAAGAGGAGAGAGAGAGAGCUUUUCUGACUUCCAACUCAUUAGGGACCAGAUUUGCUCUCCAGCACAGCAAAAGGGUCUGCCUGUGACCCUCACCGAACUCACUCUUCACUGCUUUAUAGAGACCAUCAGACUCAGGACAAAUAUUCUAGUUUGGAUGCGCAAUUAAUAAUAAGAAGAUACAGGACAGAGGCGGACUGAAUGGCUCCAAUUCUCAGAAUGUGAAAGCGUAAAUCAGAACCUACUAUUUUGUAAAACCAACUUGGAAAACAAAAUUGUCAGAAGCAAAACAACAACAACAACAACAAUAAAAACCAAACCAACAACAAAACCAAGCAAGUCAGGCUGUUUUACCAAUAAAGGGGGCACUGAAUGGAAUCAGAGAUCUGAUAAGUGCCGGGAAGUUGGACUAAGAGGGACAGGAGACUUCGAAACUUCUCUGAAUACUGCUUUGCUGCUGACUUCCAAGGAGAUCUCACCAGAGCUGAGCUGAAGCCAGGACCAUAGUGUUAUUGACAUUACCCCCAGAGACAUGAAGAAACAUCUGCUGCCCCUAGAUAUGAAACCAACACAGACCAAACCAACUGUCAGUACUGCAAGUGGUCCACCCACCAAAGAGAUGGAACUCAACGUGGUAGAAUAGAAGCUGAGACAUGUGGACUUGACAGACUUGAGACUCGGCUAUUCAUCCCAGCUCUGAGAGCCCAUGCAGCUCAUUGAGCCUUCGCGACUCCUGGUUUUACUUUCAGCAAAAUGGAGAUAUUAAGACAGGUUCCCUUGUGGUCCAGGAGACCUCAAACUCUCUCUGUAGAUGAGGAUAACCUUGAAUUCCUGAUCCUCCUGCUCUCAUCUUUCAAGUAAGAUUAUAGCUCUGGGAUCAGUACACGUCAACCUGAACCCGGAAGAGUUCCAAGUAUCUUUCCCCUUCUCUGUCAGGUUCGUGUUACCCUGAACCUGUGAGCUCAGAAGGAAUUUUCUGGUUUUCGGGAGACGGCAGCCAUUCAUCAUAGCUCUCCACCACUGACUGACUGAGAGUCAAUUAUCAUCAAACAUCCAUCUGCCCAUGAUGCUAAUUAUUCCUACUCCAUGAUUGAGGAUUUGGAGUCGGAGACUCACCUGCAAUAUUUGGAAUACCAGUGGAGAUCCAUAUCAACAUGGAAUUUAUACAGCAGCUGGUGCCAGUCACAGCUAAUGAUGAAACUUCAGCUUAAUAAAAAGACCCCCAACUGAGUACAACCAUCUCGAAGAAAGUGUACUUAUCAAACAGCUUUCAAUCAGUUCAAGAGAGACACCUUAAUUGUGAAGAGCAAGAACCGCACAGCAGUUGUCACCAUGCCAACUUCAGAUCAAUGGCACUUCCACUGCUCUUGGUACAUAUAGCCUUGCCUAUGUCCUUAACUGCACCAACAUCCUUCCUGUUGGGAUGAGAUCUUGUCAGCUGCUAGCGUGUGAUGAUGCCUUCGUUCAUUACAUUACUAUACCCCUUAGCAAAAUUUAAACGUGUAAUGAUAAAGGUCACUACCUUUUCCUUUAAUUAAGACCUCUAUUUCUUGUUACCAGAAACAAGUGCCUAUGACAUUUUGUAUUUUCAGAAAUUAUCCUGUUGAAAUAAAGCUACACAAACAAAAUAAAA
rnacentral:sRNA from 1 species